UACGGGGGGGGCAAGCGUUGUUCGGAAUUACUGGGCGUAAAGGGCGCGUAGGCGGCCUUCUAAGUCAGACGUGAAAUCCCCCGGCUUAACCUGGGAACUGCGUCUGAUACUGGGAGGCUUGAGUAUGGGAGAGGGAUGUAGAAUUCCAGGUGUAGCGGUGAAAUGCGUAGAUAUUGGGAGGAACACCAGUGGCGAAGGCGGCUCACUGGACCGGAACUGACGCUGAGGCGCGAAAGCGUGGGGAGCAAACAGGG
rnacentral:rRNA from 1 species